UAGCUAGUUGGUGAGGUAACGGCCCACCAAGGCGACGAUUGGUAGCCGGACUGAGAGGUUGAACGGCCACAUUGGGACUGAGACACGGCCCAGACUCCUACGGGAGGCAGCAGUGGGGGAUAUUGCACAAUGGGGGAAACCCUGAUGCAGCGACGCCGCGUGGAGGAAGAAGGUUUUCGGAUUGUAAACUCCUGUCGUUAGGGACGAUAAUGACGGUACCUAACAAGAAAGCACCGGCUAACUACGUGCCAGCAGCCGCGGUAAAACGUAGGGUGCAAGCGUUGUCCGGAAUUACUGGGUGUAAAGGGAGCGCAGGCGGGAAGACAAGUUGGAAGUGAAAACCAUGGGCUCAACCCAUGAAUUGCUUUCAAAACUGUUUUUCUUGAGUAGUGCAGAGGUAGAUGGAAUUCCCGGUGUAGCGGUGGAAUGCGUAGAUAUCGGGAGGAACACCAGUGGCGAAGGCGGUCUACUGGGCACCAACUGACGCUGAGGCUCGAAAGCAUGGGUAGCAAACAGGAUUAGAUACCCUGGUAGUCCAUGCCGUAAACGAUGAUUACUAGGUGUUGGGGGAUUGACCCCCUCAGUGCCGCAGUUAACACAAUAAGUAAUCCACCUGGGGAGUACGACCGCAAGGUUGAAACUCAAAGGAAUUGACGGGGGCCCGCACAAGCAGUGGAGUAUGUGGUUUAAUUCGAAGCAACGCGAAGAACCUUACCAGGUCUUGACAUCCGAUGCAUAGCACAGAGAUGUGUGAAAUCCUUCGGGACAUCGAGACAGGUGGUGCAUGGUUGUCGUCAGCUCGUGUCGUGAGAUGUUGGGUUAAGUCCCGCAACGAGCGCAACCCUUAUUGCCAGUUACUACGUUAAGAGGACUCUGGCGAGACUGCCGUUGACAAAACGGAGGAAGGUGGGGAUGACGUCAAAUCAUCAUGCCCUUUAUGACCUGGGCUACACACGUACUACAAUGGCGUUAAACAAAGAGAAGCAAGACCGCGAGGUGGAGCAAAACUCAAAAACAACGUCUCAGUUCAGAUUGCAGGCUGCAACUCGCCUGCAUGAAGUCGGAAUUGCUAGUAAUCGCGAAUCAGCAUGCCGCGGUGAAUACGUUCCCGGGCCUUGUACACACCGCCCGUCACACCAUGAGAGCCGGGGGGACCCGAAGUCGAUAGUCUAACCGCAAGGAGGACGUCGCCGAAGGUAAAACUGGUGAUUGGGGUGAAGUCGUAACAAGGUAACCGUA
rnacentral:rRNA from 1 species